rnacentral:sRNA from 1 species
CGGCUCCCACCAUGGCUGAAGAAGAGGAAACUGCUGCUCCCACGGAGAAAGUUAUCCGGACCCAGAGGGUAUUUAUAAACCUGUUGGACUCCUACAGCAGCGGAAACAUCGGGAAGUUUCUAUCUAACUGUGUAGUUGGGGCUUCGCUUGAAGAAAUUACAGAGGAAGAGGAAGAGGAAGAUGAAAAUAAGUCAGCUAUGCUGGAAGCUUCCUCAACCAAAGUGAAGGAAGGCACAUUCCAGAUUGUGGGCACGCUGUCCAAGCCUGAGAGCCCGCGGCCUGACUUUGCGGUGGAGACGUACUCUGCCAUCUCUCGAGAAGACCUUCUCAUGCGCCUGCUGGAGUGUGAUGUUAUCAUUUAUAACAUCACUGAGAGCUCACAGCAAAUGGAGGAAGCCAUCUGGGCAGUCUCUGGUCAGUGAGGUGUACUCUUUUAUCUCCAGGGAUGCUAUUGUAGUGCUGCUUACUUCACCUAAUAGUCAUCUAGGAACACUAGGCAAAGUAGGGCUAUAGAAAAACUGGUCUGAGACUUACCUAAAGUAUGAAAUCCGUGCUAAUAAUAUGGAUAGAUACUUCUGAAGAAUAUAAUAUUUUUAAUUAU